UACGUAGGGGGCGAGCGUUAUCCGGAUUCAUUGGGCGUAAAGCGCGCGUAGGCGGCCGCCUAAGCGGAACCUCUAACCCCGGGGCUCAACCUCGGGCCGGGUUCCGGACUGGGCGGCUCGGGUGCGGUAGAGGAGAGCGGAAUUCCCGGUGUAGCGGUGGAAUGCGCAGAUAUCGGGAAGAACACCGAUGGCGAAGGCAGCUCUCUGGGCCGUCACUGACGCUGAGGCGCGAAAGCUGGGGGAGCGAACAGG
rnacentral:rRNA from 1 species